CAGUAGUACCUGAUAUCACUAAUUGGCUGCCUUUGGAACAUGCUUCUCCACCGGGCCCAUUUCUUCUUUAGGUGUUCCUCCCCCUGGGCACAGGACAAAGUUGACAAUUCGGAUUCUAGAACACAAGAGCUGGUUCAGAACGGUCCUCUGUCUGGCCGGGUUCCAGGCCCCUGUUCAUCCUGACAGAGCCCCCAGACCACCAGCCGGGACUGCCUGACCAGAGCCCAGAAUCCAGGACUCAUGUGGGAGCGCACCUCCUCAAAUCUUCCCAGGGUCCAGCUGCACCGUGGUUGCAGGGUGGGCCUCCCUCAGGGUGGUCUCUCUAGUCCCAGGGCCCCAGUGCUCAGCCCUACAAUUGACCGUCCAGCUUCCUCCCGGAUUCCCCACCUCCAAUCAGACCUCCCACCUGGAGCCCCAACAUGUUCAGAGCACACCCUUUAAAUCCCCCUUACACCCCUGUGAGCCAUUUUGCCUACAGGAGACUGAAACUCAGAGAGGGUGAGUAACUCAGAGAGUCUGGCCAAGGCCACACAGCCAGGAGGUGGCACAUCCAGGCAUCUGACUAGAGAGUCCUGCUCCUCUGGAACACCUCCUAUGAGGCACAGCCUCCCGAGUAUCUCAGGGCCUCCCACAGCCUGCUCCUUCCAGGCCCCAGCGUGGCGCCUCUGCUCAUGUGUUCUUCCAAACCAGCCAGUCCUCCUGGACUCACAGGAAGCCCCCCUCCAUUGCCUCAUAUCCCAACUCCCAGAGUGUUCUUUACUGACCUCCCUGACUGGCCCCAGGCUGGCUUCUGGUCUGCAUCUGGGGACAUGGUCACACGUUUUCCAGUAUUACCGACAUGUGGAAGGCUGUCACCUUCAGUCGGCACCAAGAUCUGGAGACUCUCUUCUCCCUGAGGGUGAAGCGCAGACGGAACAGAGGCUGGCGCUCGUUGCCACAGUAGAGCGCCUCCCAGGCUGGGUGCUCAGCACCAAAGGGAUGGUUUCCGGUGGGGCUACGUGCACACUGAGGCCGCAGCACAAGUGGCUGGCAAAGGUUCGUUUGGAAACACACAAAGAGCACCCCAAAUUCAUGAGAAAAGGCAGGCAGCCCUGUGAAAAUGGGCCAAAGAUGCAAAUGGACACUUCACAGAAGAGGAGCACCCAGAAGGUGAAAACAUGGAACUCCAACGUGGAAACCGUUUGGAAAAUGCAGGCUAGGUGACCAAGCAGGCACCACCAUCCACCCAUUUGGUAGCAAACAUUUUACGGUCAGACAGUGUUAACCAUCCAGGUAUGGGAGCUCCCAGCAGCCCAGUGAUUAGGACUCGGCACUCUCACUGCCGGGGCCUGGGUUCAGUCCCUGGUCAGGUAACUGAGACCCUGCAAGC